GUGGAGGAAUCCUGAAGGUGCUACGUGGUGAUAGGAUUGCUCUGGAGGGAAAGAAGGGGAGGAGAGGAUAUUAUCACCUGGCAGGGAGUCCAGUGCGAGGUGGAGCUUCAAGAGCCAGUGGAUUCCAGAGCGAGGUGGAUCUUCAGGUGGAGGUGGAUCGGGCAUGAGAUAGGAGACUUGGGAGGAUGAGAGGCAAAAUCACAAGGUGACAUUCUUAUUGCCGCAGGAUGAUACCCUGAGCAGGUCUCAAGUUAGGAGGAGGCCGAAUAUCAAGCCGAGGUGGAGAUUGUUAGGAUUUGAUAUCUUGAGAUUCGAUCCAUAUUGAGCCC
rnacentral:lncRNA from 1 species